GAUGAACGCUGGCGGCGUGCCUAAUACAUGCAAGUCGAGCGAACGGACGAGAAGCUUGCUCCUCUGACGUUAGCGGCGGACGGGUGAGUAACACGUGGAUAACCUACCUAUAAGACUGGGAUAACUUCGGGAAACCGGAGCUAAUACCGGAUGAUAUUUUGAACCGCAUGGUUCAAUAGUGAAAGACGGUCUUGCUGUCACUUAUAGAUGGAUCCGCGCUGCAUUAGCUAGUUGGUAAGGUAACGGCUUACCAAGGCAACGAUGCAUAGCCGACCUGAGAGGGUGAUCGGCCACACUGGAACUGAGACACGGUCCAGACUCCUACGGGAGGCAGCAGUAGGGAAUCUUCCGCAAUGGGCGAAAGCCUGACGGAGCAACGCCGCGUGAGUGAUGAAGGUCUUCGGAUCGUAAAACUCUGUUAUUAGGGAAGAACAAAUGUGUAAGUAACUAUGCACGUCUUGACGGUACCUAAUCAGAAAGCCACGGCUAACUACGUG
rnacentral:rRNA from 1 species